CUCGUAGGCGGCCAACUAAGUCAGACGUGAAAUCCCUCGGCUUAACCGGGGAACUGCGUCUGAUACUGGAUGGCUUGAGAUUGGGAGAGGGAUGCGGAAUUCCAGGUGUAGCGGUGAAAUGCGUAGAUAUCUGGAGGAACACCGGUGGCGAAGGCGGCAUCCUGGACCAACACUGACGCUGAGGAGCGAAAGCCAGGGGAGCAACG
rnacentral:rRNA from 1 species